AUGGAAUCGUCUUCCAUAAGUCCUGCUUCAAGUGCAAUCAUUGCAAAGGAACCCUCACGCUAAGUACAUAUUCAUCCAUGGAAGGUGUUUUGUAUUACAAGCCUCACUUUGAACAACUCUUCAAGGAAUUUGGCAACUUCCACAAGAAUUUUCAGUCAUCUGCAAAAUCUGCUGAUAAAGCUCCUAAACUG